CGAACGCUGGCGGCGUGCUUACCACAUGCACGUCGAACGGCAAGGCCCUGCUUUUGUGGGGUGCUCGAGUGGCGAACGGGUGAGUAACACGUGAGUAACCUGCCCUUGACUUUGGGAUAACUUCAGGAAACUGGGGCUAAUACCGGAUAGGAGCUCCUGCUGCAUGGUGGGGGUUGGAAAGUUUCGGCGGUUGGGGAUGGACUCGCGGCUUAUCAGCUUGUUGGUGGGGUAGUGGCUUACCAAGGCUUUGACGGGUAGCCGGCCUGAGAGGGUGACCGGCCACAUUGGGACUGAGAUACGGCCCAGACUCCUACGGGAGGCAGCAGUGGGGAAUAUUGCACAAUGGGCGGAAGCCUGAUGCAGCAACGCCGCGUGCGGGAUGACGGCCUUCGGGUUGUAAACCGCUUUCGCCUGUGACGAAGCGUGAGUGACGGUAAUGGGUAAAGAAGCACCGGCUAACUACGUG
rnacentral:rRNA from 1 species